CAGUCGCCGCGGUAAUACGAAGGGGGCUAGCGUUGUUCGGAUUUACUGGGCGUAAAGCGCACGUAGGCGGAUCGAUCAGUCAGGGGUGAAAUCCCAGAGCUCAACUCUGGAACUGCCUUUGAUACUGUCGAUCUGGAGUAUGGAAGAGGUGAGUGGAAUUCCGAGUGUAGAGGUGAAAUUCGUAGAUAUUCGGAGGAACACCAGUGGCGAAGGCGGCUCACUGGUCCAUUACUGACGCUGAGGUGCGAAAGCGUGGGGAGCAAACAGGAUUAGAUACCCCCGUAGUCCCUGUCUCUUAUAA
rnacentral:rRNA from 1 species